rnacentral:piRNA from 1 species
UACGAGGAGCAGUGCCGAAGGCUGGA